rnacentral:rRNA from 1 species
AUUGAACGCUGGCGGCAUGCCUUACACAUGCAAGUCGAACGGCAGCACGGGAGCAAUCCUGGUGGCGAGUGGCGAACGGGUGAGUAAAGUAUCGGAACGUGCCCAGUCGUGGGGGAUAACGUAGCGAAAGUUACGCUAAUACCGCAUACGAUCUAUGGAUGAAAGCGGGGGAUCGCAAGACCUCGCGCGAUUGGAGCGGCCGAUAUCAGAUUAGGUAGUUGGUGGGGUAAAGGCUCACCAAGCCGACGAUCUGUAGCUGGUCUGAGAGGACGGCCAGCCACACUGGGACUGAGACACGUCCCAGACUCCUACGGGAGGCAGCAGUGGGGAAUUUUGGACAAUGGGCGAAAGCCUGAUCCAGCCAUGCCGCGUGCAGGAUGAAGGCCUUCGGGUUGUAAACUGCUUUUGUACGGAACGAAAAGGUUUGGCCUAAUAAGCUGAGCUCAUGACGGUACCGUAAGAAUAAGCACCGGCUAACUACGUGCCAGCCGCCGCGGUAA